UACGUAGGGGGCAAGCGUUGUCCGGAUUCAUUGGGCGUAAAGAGCGUGUAGGCGGCCCGGUAGGUGGGUUGUGAAAACUGGAGGCUCAACCUUCAGACGUCGACCCAAACCCCCUGGCUAGAGUCCGGAAGAGGAGAGUGGAAUUCCUGGUGUAGCGGUGAAAUGCGCAGAUAUCAGGAGGAACACCAAUAGCGAAGGCAGCUCGCUGGGACGUUACUGACACUGAGGCGCGAAAGCGUGGGGAGCGAACAGG
rnacentral:rRNA from 1 species